AUGAACGCUAGCGGCAGGCCUAAUACAUGCAAGUCGAACGGUAGAUCGGGUAGCAAUACUUGAUUGAGAGUGACGUAAGGGUGCGUAACACGUAUGCAAUCUACCCUCAACAGGAGUGUAGCUCGGGGAAACUCGGAUUAACACUCCAUAACAUUACGAUGUGGCAUCACAUUGUGAUUAAAACUCCGGUGGUUGAGGAUGAGCAUGCGUCUGAUUAGUUAGUUGGAGGUGUAACGGACCCCCAAGACGAUGAUCAGUAGGGGAACUGAGAGGUUGAUCCCCCACACUGGCACUGAGAUACGGGCCAGACUCCUACGGGAGGCAGCAGUAGGGAAUAUUGGUCAAUGGGUGAGAGCCUGAACCAGCCAUGCCGCGUGCAGGAAGACGGCCUUCUGGGUUGUAAACUGCUUUUAUCUGGGGAUAAAAAGCCCAUGCGUGGGACAUUGAAGGUACCAGAUGAAUAAGCACCGGCUAACUACGUG
rnacentral:rRNA from 1 species